GUGCUUCAGGAAGUACAUGUGCUAAAACUGUAACAAUACAGAGAAGAUUAGUGUGGCCCCUGCGUGAGGAUGACGUGCAAAUUCAUGAAGUGUCCAUAUUUUAU
ensembl:snRNA U6 U6 spliceosomal RNA